rnacentral:tRNA from 1 species
CAGGGAGACAAAAACUGAUCGUGAUGUCUGAGUUAUUUAUUCUUAGGCCAUGAUCCUGUCACCUUAGGUCGAUCGGUACCUCAGAUUUUUGUCCAAGAUUGAAUGAAUUUCAAACAAUUUUUGGCAAUAGAUUUUAGUUCCUAAACUUUGUCUAGGUCACACCCAACAAGGGUACUCCUGGGCCAUUAGCUCAGGUGGUUAGAGCGCACCCCUGAUAAGGGUGAGGUCCCUGGUUCAAGUCCAGGAUGGCCCAUUCGAUGUUGGGGGUAUAGCUCAGUUGGUAGAGCGCCUGCUUUGCAAGCAGGAUGUCAGCGAUUCGAGUCCGCUUACCUCCACUGAUCGACCUCCUCGCACAAAAACAAAGGAGGUUUUUGUUGUGUGUGAAAUAGACUAGUUUUCCUGAAAGAACCUAGCUUCUUUUCAUUUUUACAUCGCUAUUAAUAGAGAUGAUUUUGAAAAGAUGCUGGGCUCACUUUAAUUCAUAAUGAAUUGAAGAAAGUUCAGUAGAACCUUGACAACUGCAUAGGUGAGUUUGGAAAGAAUAAAGCAUCUCAUGGAUGCAUUAUUCUUUAAGUAGAAUGUUUUAUUUCAAAUGUAUUUAAAACUAUUUUACUUAAUAGAAUAAUGUUUAAUUCUUGAGUCAAGAGCCGAGACUCUAUAGCGUUCUUUCGAUGUCAUCGAGGCAUCGAGAGUUUGAUUGGUUAUUCAAACCAUCUUCAAUGACAAACAAUUCAGUUUAACUGGAGAAGCUUGAGAUUGAAGCCAGGUGAAUUGCUAAGAAUACGUAUUCAACUACGUGAAGCGUUAUAGAGAUUAAUU